rnacentral:rRNA from 1 species
CAUCGCCUCUUGCCUAACCAAUAUAAGAGGUCCCGCCUGCCCUGUGACUUAUAGUUUAACGGCCGCGGUAUUUUGACCGUGCAAAGGUAGCGCAAUCACUUGUCUUUUAAAUGAAGACCUGUAUGAAUGGCAUCACGAGGGCUUAACUGUCUCCUUCCCCCAGUCAAUGAAAUUGAUCUCCCCGUGCAGAAGCGGGGAUAAAUCCAUAAGACGAGAAGACCCUAUGGAGCUUCAGAUACAAGUUCAGCCCAUGUCUAAUGACCUUAAUUAAAAGAAUAAACCAAUUGAACCCUGUCCUAGUAUCUUUGGUUGGGGCGACCAUGGAGUAUAACAAAACCCCCAUGAGGUAAAAACAUAAAAUGUUUUAAACUAAGAGUGACAACUCUAAGCAACAGAACCUCUGACCUUAUAGAUCCGGCAUUACCGAUCAACGAACCGAGUUACCCUAGGGAUAACAGCGCAAUCCCCUUUUAGAGCCCACAUCGACAAGGGGGUUUACGACCUCGAUGUUGGAUCAGGACAUCCUAAUGGUGCAGCCGCUAUUAAGGGUUCGUUUGUUCAACGAUUAAAGUCCUACGUGAUCU